rnacentral:piRNA from 1 species
UGAAUAUCUUCCUUGAUAGUUUUUCUGAC